CGAAAGACAAUCACGAUCACGAGGGUCGAGGUGCAGUGUCCUGGGGUAGGCCCUGCAGCCGAGGGCUAGGCUGCCGGGCCUCCCGGUUGCUCGGCGACAGGGCGGAGCAGGGGGGUGGACGACGAGGGCACGCAGAGGGAGAUUUUGGGUGCGCGAGGAGCAGGACGUGAGAGCAGAGCACAAGGAGCCGUAGAGGGAGGGAGGAAGGAGCCGGAACCCAGAGUGCGGGAGAGCAGUUGGCGCCGCCGCCGCCGCCUGUCGGAAGGAGAGGGGAGCCGCAGCCCAGAGGGCAGCCGGUCCUGGUACCGACCGCCAAAAUCUCACGACGUAGAACAGUCCGGGAAGGACCCAAAGAAUGGCCUUCAUGUCUCACGACUAUCCUCUUAAGGUAAGUCUCUUUUUGAGUAGAUGUGGCAAUAAAGAGAGAAGUAAAAGGAUCACACGUCGGUCGAGGGCGAGAUACCGUAGGUAAGUUGAUGACCUCGACUGGGAAAGAUGACCAACGCACGAUAAGAACGUAGUUUGGCGCCAUGACAAUACCUCGACCCAUAGUGAGGUUAACACUGUAGACCCUACCAUUACGUUGAAGACCAUCCUAGGUUCUAGUAACUUCAACUGUUGUCACACUCUCUCCUAGCACGUGAAGACUUACCACGUGUUUUCAACGAACCAUAGGACUAGCGAUAACCUCUUCGGCACCGUAUACAGAACAGACCUUACAUACCGUCACAUUCGGUUGAUCCUUGUCCCUUACGAUAAGAGUAAUAUGAUGUCGAAAAGAAACGACCGUAGUAACAGUAGACAGACCUACUUGAAGAGGUCUUUCCUAUACCAAACCCAAGACCGUAUAGAGAUAAGUAGCGAUGGUUGUAGACACUCUUAUAGUAGACCUUCCGCAAAUCGGGGUGUUGGUAGUUGUCGCCUGCACCACGACUUAAACUUCCCCGACAGUAACCUAACAAGGUAGACAACUAAUGGGCUUGACUAUUUCAGGCACGAGACGCCCUCCGAAAGAUGGCGGUCUUAGAAGGUUUGCACUGGUUGAAUGAACGAUGACAGGACCAUAAGGAGUAACAAUAGAUAAAGGUUCCGAAGGCACAGCACGAAGGUCACUCUAGUUCCUUACGGGCACCCGUCGUUCCAAGUAUAGGUUAAUUUGACAAGAUGUGUAGCUUAUACGGGUAGUAAGACGUGAGACGCGACUAAUGGUUGGAAAUGAAAUAUAGAGUCGAAGAAAUGUUCUUCAAGUCACCGUUGAAGGACCAAUUGGAAGAGCCAUAUACCUUCCUUAGACUCAUAAGUCCGGUAAGAUAAGGGCAACCACCAGAACGUAUGAUACAUUGACGGGGUAGUUCAAACCGACUACAACAGCGUUUAGGUAAGGUACGCGACAAGAUACACCAGAAGUACGACAGUCGAACGCGAGAGAAGAGUUUCUGCACCUAACUUCAAAGACCAAGUAGUCGCUCCCUACAACGAUCCGUCGAGUUCCUUGUUGUUUACCACUACGGUCCGGUAGCGCUCAGUUUGAACCUCUCCCUCAACUUGUCUAUGUAGGGGUGACGACGACGUAAACCUCCUCACACGUAACCGCGCGACUGACAGGACCGACUAAAGUACCCACGUUAACCAAGUCCUUGGCCAUAUGACGAGCGACAGUGGUAGUAUAUGGUUAUGAAGCUCUGCAAGCUCUUCCUUUCCCGCUGGCUCGAACCAAAGAAGCCGAAAACUAGUUCCUGACAUUAUACCACAAUGACGAUCGGCACUAUGACAGACCCCUGGAACCUAAAUCUUUAACAUCGUCUCAGACGCACACACACAAAACUCCUCGUACCACCGUACAUGUAGCCGGUUCACGUCGGUACCGGUUAAUCGGUGGUACACAAACACAAGUCACCAGAUGACUCAAAACCAAUAGAAUCAUUGGACUAUACAACGGCAAUGAAAACUUCAUUUUAACAUGUAAUCAAAAUAAACAAAACACCGUUAGGAGGCAUCAGGUAUGGUUGG
rnacentral:rRNA from 1 species